rnacentral:rRNA from 1 species
AGUCGAGAAUAAUUCACAAUGGACGAAAGUCUGAUGGUGCAACGCCGCGUGGAGGAUGAAGGUCUUCGGAUUGUAAACUCCUGUCAUUUGAGAGUAAGACCUGGCGGUGAAUAGCCGACAGGGUUGAUAGUAUCAAAAGAGGAAGGGACGGCUAACUUCGUGCCAGCAGCCGCGGUAAUACGAAGGUCCCGAGCGUUGUUCGGAAUCACUGGGCGUAAAGGGAGCGUAGGCGGUUGGGUAAGUCAGAUGUGAAAUCCCGGGGCUCAACCUCGGAACUGCAUCCGAUACUGCCCGACUAGAGUAAUGGAGGGGUAACUGGAAUUCUCGGUGUAGCAGUGAAAUGCGUAGAUAUCGAGAGGAACACUCGUGGCGAAGGCGAGUUACUGGACAUUUACUGACGCUGAGGCUCGAAGGCCAGGGUAGCGAA